AUACGGAGGAUCCGAGCGUUAUCCGGAUUUAUUGGGUUUAAAGGGUGCGCAGGCGGCCAUUUAAGUCAGCGGUUAAAUCGUGGGGCUCAACCCCAUUCUGCCGUUGAUACUGGGUGGCUUGAUUGCGGUCGAGGUUGGCGGAAUUCGUUGUGUAGCGGUGAAAUGCAUAGAUAUGACGAAGAACACCGAUUGCGUAGGCAGCUGACCAGACCGCAAAUGACGCUCAUGCACGAAAGUGCGGGGAUCGAACAGGAUUAGAUACCCUGGUAGUCCGCACAGUAAACGAUGAAUACUUGUUUUCGGCGAUAUAAUGUCGGAGGCAAAGCGAAAGCGAUAAGUAUUCCACCUGGGGAGUACGCCGGCAACGGUGAAACUCAAAGGA
rnacentral:rRNA from 1 species